CAGACCAAACGUUUCGGACGUUGUUGUGACUCUGAAUACCGUCGUUACUGUCAGUUUCGACUGACUCUAUCGAGAAGGGUGUCUGCCUUUCAACUAGAUGGUAAUCUAUUGGACUACCAUGGUUGUUACGGGUAACGGAGAAUUAGGGUUCGACUCCGGAGAGGGAGCUUAGAAACGGCUACCACGUCCAAGGAAGGCAGCAGGCGCGAAACUUAUCCACUGUUGAGUAUGAGAUAGUGACUAAAAAUAUAAAGACUCAUCCUUUUGGAUGAGUUAUUUCAAUGAGUUGAAUAUAAAUUAUUCUUCGAGUAGCAAGGAGAGGGCAAGUCUGGUGCCAGCAGCCGCGGUAAUUCCAGCUCUCCUAGUGUAUCUCGUUAUUGCUGCGGUUAAAAAGCUCGUAGUUGGAUCUAGGUUACGUGCCGCAGUUCGCAAUUUGCGUUAACUGUGGUCGUGACUUCUAAUUUGCUGGUUUGAGGUUGGGUUCGCCCUUCAACUGCCAGCAGGUUUACCUUGAAUAAAUCAGAGUGCUCAAUACAGGCGCUUGCUUGAAUAGCUCAUCAUGGAAUAAUGAAACAGGACUUCGGUUCUUUUUGUUGGUUCUAGAAUUGAUCUAAUGGUUAAGAGGGACAAACCGGGGGCAUUCGUAUCAUUACGCGAGAGGUGAAAUUCGUGGACCGUAGUGAGACGCCCAAUAGCGAAAGCAUUUGCCAAGAAUGUCUUCAUUAAUCAAGAACGAAAGUCAGAGGUUCGAAGGCGAUUAGAUACCGCCCUAGUUCUGACCGUAAACGAUGCCAUCUCGCGAUUCGGAGGGUUCAUGCCCUACCGAGGAGCUACCCGGAAACGAAAGUCUUUCGGUUCCGGGGGUAGUAUGGUUGCAAAGCUGAAACUUAAAGAAAUUGACGGAAGGGCACCACAAGGCGUGGAGCUUGCGGCUUAAUUUGACUCAACACGGGAAAACUCACCCGGUCCGGACACUAUUAGGACUGACAGAUUGAAAGCUCUUUCUCGAUUUGG
rfam:Caenorhabditis japonica strain DF5081 Contig9534.1, whole genome shotgun sequence.